rnacentral:rRNA from 1 species
GACGAACGCUGGCGGCGUGCUUAACACAUGCAAGUCGAACGGAAAGGCCCUGCUUUUGUGGGGUGCUCGAGUGGCGAACGGGUGAGUAACACGUGAGUAGCCUGCCCUUGACUUUGGGAUAACUUCAGGAAACUGGGGCUAAUACCGGAUAGGAGCUCCUGCUGCAUGGUGGGGGUUGGAAAGUUUCGGCGGUUGGGGAUGGACUCGCGGCUUAUCAGCUUGUUGGUGGGGUAGUGGCUUACCAAGGCUUUGACGGGUAGCCGGCCUGAGAGGGUGACCGGCCACAUUGGGACUGAGAUACGGCCCAGACGCCUACGGGAGGCAGCAGGGGGGAAUAUUGCACAAUGGGCGGAAGCCUGAUGCAGCAACGCCGCGUGCGGGAUGACGGCCUUCGGGUUGUAAACCGCUUUCGCCUGUGACGAAGCGUGAGUGACGGUAAUGGGUAAAGAAGCACCGGCUAACUACGUG